GCUUGCUCCUCUGACGUUAGCGGCGGACGGGUGAGUAACACGUGGAUAACCUACCUAUAAGACUGGGAUAACUUCGGGAAACCGGAGCUAAUACCGGAUAAUAUAUUGAACCGCAUGGUUCAAUAGUGAAAGACGGUUUUGCUGUCACUUAUAGAUGGAUCCGCGCCGCAUUAGCUAGUUGGUAAGGUAACGGCUUACCAAGGCAACGAUGCGUAGCCGACCUGAGAGGGUGAUCGGCCACACUGGAACUGAGACACGGUCCAGACUCCUACGGGAGGCAGCAGUAGGGAAUCUUCCGCAAUGGGCGAAAGCCUGACGGAGCAACGCCGCGUGAGUGAUGAAGGUCUUCGGAUCGUAAAACUCUGUUAUUAGGGAAGAACAAAUGUGUAAGUAACUAUGCACGUCUUGACGGUACCUAAUCAGAAAGCCACGGCUAACUACGUGCCAGCAGCCGC
rnacentral:rRNA from 1 species